rnacentral:rRNA from 1 species
AUUGAACGCUGGCGACAGGCCUAACACAUACAAGUCGAACGGUAGCACAGAGGAGCUUGCUCCUUGGGUGACGAGUGGCGGGCGGGUGAGUAAUGUCUGGGAAACUGCCCGAUGGAGGGGGAUAACUACUGGAAACGGUAGCUAAUACCGCAUAACGUCGCAAGACCAAAGAGGGGGACCUUCGGGCCUCUUGCCAUCGGAUGUGCCCAGAUGGGAUUAGCUAGUAGGUGGGGUAACGGCUCACCUAGGCGACGAUCCCUAGCUGGUCUGAGAGGAUGACCAGCCACACUGGAACUGAGACACGGUCCAGACUCCUACGGGAGGCAGCAGUGGGGAAUAUUGCACAAUGGGCGCAAGCCUGAUGCAGCCAUGCCGCGUGUGUGAAGAAGGCCUUCGGGUUGUAAAGUACUUUCAGCGGGGAGGAAGGGGUUAAGGUUAAUAACCUUAGCCAUUGACGUUACCCGCAGAAGAAGCACCGGCUAACUCCGUGCCAGCAGCCGCCGUAA